rnacentral:rRNA from 1 species
GAUGAACGCUGGCGGCGUGCCUAAUACAUGCAAGUCGAGCGAACGGACGAGAAGCUUGCUUCUCUGAUGUUAGCGGCGGACGGGUGAGUAACACGUGGAUAACCUACCUAUAAGACUGGGAUAACUUCGGGAAACCGGAGCUAAUACCGGAUAAUAUUUUGAACCGCAUGGUUCAAAAGUGAAAGACGGUCUUGCUGUCACUUAUAGAUGGAUCCGCGCUGCAUUAGCUAGUUGGUAAGGUAACGGCUUACCAAGGCAACGAUGCAUAGCCGACCUGAGAGGGGGAUCCGCCACACUGGAACUGAGACACGGUCCAGACUCCUACGGGAGGCAGCAGUAGGGAAUCUUCCGCAAUGGGCGAAAGCCUGACGGAGCAACGCCGCGUGAGUGAUGAAGGUCUUCGGAUCGUAAAACUCUGUUAUUAGGGAAGAACAUAUGUGUAAGGAACUGUGCACAUCUUGACGGUACCUAAUCAGAAAGCCACGGCUAACUACGUG